rnacentral:tRNA from 1 species
GAUCGUCGUCUCCGGUGAGGCGGCUGGACUUCAAAUCCAGUUGGGGCCGCCAGCGGUCCCGGGCAGGUUCGACUCCUGUGAUCGCCA